rnacentral:lncRNA from 1 species
AUGCCAAGCGUGUCACCAUUAUGCCAAAGGACAUUCAGCUCGCUAGGCGUAUCAGGGGCGAGCGUGCUUAAAUUGAUCAAGUGUGGUAGCUCUGUUGGUGAUUUUAGAUCUUUUUGUUAAAGACAGUGAUGGUAUUAAAAUUUAGUAGUAGGGAUGAUGUGCUAUGUUGAUCUUAUUUUGUGUGGUGGAUGGAGGUGUGCUGUAAUUGUUGUUCUGUUUUGGGAGGUGGAGAAGCAUAGUAUUUGUUGAAUCUUUCUAAUGUUUUGUUGUCACACCACUGGUGUUGAACAAGUUUCAGAAUUUGCAUCUAAUGUUUAGUUCAACUGUUUGGUAUUUGCCUCUUAUCUUCCACUUCAUAGUCUUAUUGUUAGC